rnacentral:rRNA from 1 species
CCUACGGGUGGCAGCAGUCGAGAAUCAUUCACAAUGGGGGAACCCCUGAUGGUGCGACGCCGCGUGGGGGAAUGAAGGUCUUCGGAUUGUAAACCCCUGUCAUGUGGGAGCAAAUUAAAAAGAUAGUACCACAAGAGGAAGAGACGGCUAACUCUGUGCCAGCAGCCGCGGUAAUACAGAGGUCUCAAGCGUUGUUCGGAAUCACUGGGCGUAAAGCGUGCGUAGGCUGUUUCGUAAGUCGUGUGUGAAAGUCGCGGGGUCAACCCGCGGACGGCACAUGAUACUGCGAGACUAGAGUAAUGGAGGGGGAACCGGAAUGCUCGGUGUAGCAGUGAAAUGGGUAGAUAGCGAGAGGAACACUCGUGGCGAAGGCGGGUUCCUGGACAUUAACGGACGCUGAGGCACGAAGGCCAGGGGAGCGAAAGGGAUUAGAUACCCGAGUAGUC